rnacentral:rRNA from 1 species
UGGGGAAUUUUGGACAAUGGGCGAAAGCCUGAUCCAGCAAUGCCGCGUGAGUGAAGAAGGCCUUCGGGUUGUAAAGCUCUUUUNGUCAGGGAAGAAACGGUGAAAGCUAAUAUCUUUUGCAAUGACGGUACCUGAAGAAUAAGCACCGGCUAACUACGUGCCAGCAGCCGCGGUAAUACGUAGGGUGCAAGCGUUAAUCGGAAUUACUGGGCGUAAAGCGUGCGCAGGCGGUUUUGUAAGUCUGAUGUGAAAUCCCCGGGCUCAACCUGGGAAUUGCAUUGGAGACUGCAAGGCUAGAAUCUGGCAGAGGGGGUAGAAGUUCCACGUGUAGCAGUGAAAUGCGUAGAUAUGUGGAGGAACACCGGAUGGCGAAGGCAGCCCCCUGGGUCCAAGAUUGAC